rfam:Anaeromyces robustus strain S4 BCR32scaffold_401, whole genome shotgun sequence.
GCUUCUAUAGUGUAAUGGUCAGCACCUUGGACUCUGAAUCCAAUAAUCCGAGUUCGAAUCUCGGUAGAAGCU